rnacentral:rRNA from 1 species
UACGGAGGAUCCAAGCGUUAUCCGGAUUUAUUGGGUUUAAAGGGUGCGUAGGUGGGUUAUUAAGUCAGUGGUGAAAGCCUGCAGCUUAACUGCAGAAUUGCCAUUGAUACUGAUAGUCUUGAGUAUAGUUGAGGUGGGCGGAAUGUGUCAUGUAGCGGUGAAAUGCUUAGAUAUGACACAGAACACCGAUUGCGUAGGCAGCUCGCUAAACUAUAACUGACACUGAGGCACGAAAGCGUGGGGAGCAAACAGG